rnacentral:lncRNA from 1 species
AUGCUGUGCUCCAACGGCAGUGCCUGCAGCCACUCUGUGUUGGACACCCACUGUCCAGCACUAAGGAGCUGUCAGCACCACUCACGUGCCAGCAGUUUGCGAGGCAGGGGGACAUCGCUCCUGCAGACCUGGGGCUGGUGGGCACUGCUUGGAGGCCUGCGGACAGUUUUUGGGCCCCUGAAGAAGAGAGUUCGUCCCUUGCAGCUCAUUGAGGUGUCCCCCAGGAGCAGCCCUUGCUGUGCACCCACGCAGCCCCACUCAGCGAGCACCCAGCUCUGCCCCUUGCUUAGAGCAGAGGUCCCGGGGAGUCAAACAGCGGGAGAACAGCGGCAGCGCCGUGCCGGGCGGAGGAACCGGGGCGGCAGCACGGAGCCGACGGCGGUGAAACGGCUCCAUCUCCUGGCAGCGCCGGGGCCGUAUCCGGCCUCGUACCGUCCGCACCACUCGCCGAGGUGAGUGGCGAAUGAGCCUGGGCUUGGUUGGAAAGGGGCAGGCUCGCGGCUUGCAGCUCAGAAGGCUGCAGAGAGAAGGAAUGAGGUAUAAAACCAAUUCUUUGCGCUCGCUGCUGAUUCACACUGUUUCUUGCCACGCCUGGGACUGGCAGCUGGGCAGGGCAGGACACACUCACUGCAUUCAGCACGGCCCAGAAGACAUCUUCCCAUGGCCCAGAAAUGUGAGCAGGGACACACGGGUCCCUUUGUCACAGGGUGAGUGCAGGCACAAAUCACACAGCUCCGCAAGGGCUGCAGAGCUGUGGGUGCUGGGACGUGGGGGGGUCACUGGGCACUGCUCACCCACCUGUCUGCGUGUCUGUCCUGGCCCCAGCACCUCCUCCUGCAGCACUCUGCAGGACGCCUGACCUGUGCUUGUUUUUACACACCUCUGAGCUGGGUGGAAAGGGAAAAAAUGCACACAGCAUCGCUCUGCAGCAAUGAUGUUGCACCUUAUUUCUUUUCUCUCCAAGCCACAUUUUUCUACCAACAGUCCCUGUCCCCAGCAGGAUCUGGUUCUCACUUCUGCUCAUGCUUGAAAAUGGAUAUUUAUGUCAGCGACAAACAGCUUGUGGGUAAAUGAGAGCUGGGCCCCAGAGGCUCAGCAUUCCCCUGGGAGGGCAGAGGCAAAGGCACGUUCCUCUCUGCAGAGCUCACAGCUCUCUGCAGUGCCAUGCUUCAUUUCCCAGGGACUGCAGGGGUGACCUGCACGCAGAAGAGACCAGGUGUGGGGACAGGCUCUGAGCACAGCAUGGCAGGGAGAUGUGUGUGCCAGGAGAACUGCAGCUUGGCAAGGGGAAGGCGGGUGAAGGGCAGAGCAUCCUUCAGAGAAUAAACGGCACAGAGAGAAGGGAAACA